AAUAACGAAACAAACUACGCUGUAGCUGCGUAAGCAGUUAUCGCGUGAUCUAGCCUAGCAUCGCCCAUGUGUUAGUUCUAGGUAUUAUAAUGAAGUGGGAUACGCUAAGUUGUUCCGUCUGUAAAACUUAGCAGAGAUUAUCAGACUAGCGACAUGUGAUGCCCGUUUUACGGCUAGCAUGAAGCGAACUCUUAAUAGUAGAACUAUAAUCGUAGAUAUUCUAGUGGCAAUAUGUCUGGACGCGAGUUCAAAUCUCGCCAGCUCCAUUA
rnacentral:tmRNA from 1 species